rnacentral:snRNA from 1 species
GUGCUCACUUCGGCAGCACAUAUACUAAAAUUGGAACGAUACAGGGAAGAUUAGCAUGGCUCCUACACAAGGAUGACAUGCAAAUUUGUGAAGCGUUCCAUAUUUUU